rnacentral:piRNA from 1 species
UGGUGAAUCAAGAAGUUUCUGUCUGUG